UGGGGAAUUUGGACAAUGGGCGAAAGCCUGAUCCAGCAAUGCCGCGUGUGUGAAGAAGGCCUUCGGGUUGUAAAGCACUUUUGUCCGGAAAGAAAUCCUUGGCUCUAAUACAGUCGGGGGAUGACGGUACCGGAAGAAUAAGCACCGGCUAACUACGUGCCAGCAGCCGCGGUAAUACGUAGGGUGCAAGCGUUAAUCGGAAUUACUGGGCGUAAAGCGUGCGCAGGCGGUUUGCUAAGACCGAUGUGAAAUCCCCGGGCUCAACCUGGGAACUGCAUUGGUGACUGGCAGGCUAGAGUAUGGCAGAGGGGGGUAGAAUUCCACGUGUAGCAGUGAAAUGCGUAGAGAUGUGGAGGAAUACCGAUGGCGAAGGCAGCCCCCUGGGCCAAUACUGACGCUCAUGCACGAAAGCGUGGGGGAGCAAAACAGGAUUAGAUACCCUGGUAGUCCACGCCCUAAANGAUGUCAACUAGUUGUUGGGGAUUCAUUUCCUAGUAACGUAGCUAACGCGUGAAGUUGACCGCCUGGGGAGUACGGUCGCAAGAUUAAAACUCAAAUGAAUUGACGGGGUCAUAGCUGUUUCCU
rnacentral:rRNA from 1 species